CCUACGGGAGGCAGCAGUGAGGAAUAUUGGUCAAUGGGCGGGAGCCUGAACCAGCCAAGUCGCGUGAGUGAAGACGGUCCUAUGGAUUGUAAACCUCUUUAGGCGGGGAGCAAUGCCGGGCACGCGUGCCCGGAGGGAGAGUACCCGCAGAAUAAGCAUCGGCUAACUCCGUGCCGGCAGCCGCGGUAAUACGGAGGAUGCGAGCGUUAUCCGGAUUUAUUGGGUUUAAAGGGUGCGUAGGCGGAUUUUUAAGUCAGCGGUAAAAUGUCCGGGCUCAACCCGGGCCGGCCGUUGAAACUGGGGAUCUUGAGUGGGAGAGAAGUAGGCGGAAUGCGUGGUGUAGCGGUGAAAUGCAUAGAUAUCACGCAGAACUCCGAUUGCGAAGGCAGCAUACCGGCGCCCGACUGACGCUGAGGCACGAAAGCGUGGGGAUCGAACAGGAUUAGAUACCCCUGUAGUC
rnacentral:rRNA from 1 species